UUCCGUAGGUGAACCUGCGGAGGGAUCAUUACCGAGUUUACAACUCCCAAACCCAAUGUGAACCAUACCAAACUGUUGCCUCGGCGGGGUCACGCCCCGGGUGCGUCGCAGCCCCGGAACCAGGCGCCCGCCGGAGGGACCAACCAAACUCUUUCUGUAGUCCCCUCGCGGACGUUAUUUCUUACAGCUCUGAGCAAAAAUUCAAAAUGAAUCAAAACUUUCAACAACGGAUCUCUUGGUUCUGGCAUCGAUGAAGAACGCAGCGAAAUGCGAUAAGUAAUGUGAAUUGCAGAAUUCAGUGAAUCAUCGAAUCUUUGAACGCACAUUGCGCCCGCCAGUAUUCUGGCGGGCAUGCCUGUCCGAGCGUCAUUUCAACCCUCGAACCCCUCCGGGGGGUCGGCGUUGGGGAUCGGGAACCCCUAAGACGGGAUCCCGGCCCCGAAAUACAGUGGCGGUCUCGCCGCAGCCUCUCCUGCGCAGUAGUUUGCACAACUCGCACCGGGAGCGCGGCGCGUCCACGUCCGUAAAACACCCAACUUCUGAAAUGUUGACCUCGGAUCAGGUAGGAAUACCCGCUGAACUUAAGCAUAUCAAUAAGCGGAGGAAA
rnacentral:rRNA from 1 species